UACGUAGGGGGCGAGCGUUAUCCAGAUUUACUGGGCGUAAAGCGCGUGUAGGCGGCUGGUCAAGUGUGAUGUGAAAUCUUCGGGCUCAACCCUGGAAUGCCGGUGGAAACUGUCGAGCUAGAGUCCGGAAGAGGCGAGUGGAAUUCCUGGUGUAGCGGUGAAAUGCGCAGAUAUCAGGAGGAACACCAAUGGCGAAGGCAGCUCUCUGGGACGGUACUGACACUGAGACGCGAAAGCGUGGGGAGCGAACAGG
rnacentral:rRNA from 1 species